rnacentral:rRNA from 1 species
AGAGCGAACGCUGGCGGCAGGCCUAACACAUGCAAGUCGAACGGAUCCUUCGGGAUUAGUGGCGGACGGGUGAGUAACACGUGGGAACGUGCCUUUUGGUUCGGAACAACUCAGGGAAACUUGAGCUAAUACCGGAUAAGCCCUUCGGGGGAAAGAUUUAUCGCCAUUAGAGCGGCCCGCGUAGGAUUAGCUAGUUGGUGGGGUAAAGCCCACCAAGGCUACGAUCCUUAGCUGGUCUGAGAGGAUGAUCAGCCACAUUGGGACUGAGACACGGCCCAAACUCCUACGGGAGGCAGCAGUGGGGAAUCGUUGCGCAAUGGGCGAAAGCCUGACGCAGCCAUGCCGCGUGAAUGAUGAAGGUCUUAGGAUUGUAAAAUUCUUUCACCGGGACGAUAAUGACGGUACCCGGAGAACGAAGCCCCGGCUAACUUCGUGCCAGCAGCCGCGGUAAUCGUACGAGCGGCGUCGGACGACGGCCGCUAGAG